AUUGAACGCUGGCGGCAGGCCUAACACAUGCAAGUCGAGCGGAUGACGGGAGCUUGCUCCUUGAUUCAGCGGCGGACGGGUGAGUAAUGCCUAGGAAUCUGCCUGGUAGUGGGGGACAACGUUUCGAAAGGAACGCUAAUACCGCAUACGUCCUACGGGAGAAAGCAGGGGACCUUCGGGCCUUGCGCUAUCAGAUGAGCCUAGGUCGGAUUAGCUAGUUGGUGGGGUAAUGGCUCACCAAGGCGACGAUCCGUAACUGGUCUGAGAGGAUGAUCAGUCACACUGGAACUGAGACACGGUCCAGACUCCUACGGGAGGCAGCAGUGGGGAAUAUUGGACAAUGGGCGAAAGCCUGAUCCAGCCAUGCCGCGUGUGUGAAGAAGGUCUUCGGAUUGUAAAGCACUUUAAGUUGGGAGGAAGGGCAGUAAGCUAAUACCUUGCUGUUUUGACGUACCGACAGAAUAAGCCC
rnacentral:rRNA from 1 species